CGACCACAGAGGCGCGGUGGGGAUAGAGCGCCGCUCCCAGCUCACUUCCGGCCGCCGCUCUCCGCACGCUUCCGGCUGCCGCUCGCUGCUCGCUUCCGGCGCCUCGCAGCUCACUUCCGGCCGCCGCCAUGGGCUCAGCGGGGCGGCUCGGCGGGGUGGUGGCGCUGGUGACAGGUGGCCGAGUCGCGACAGGAGGGGCGGGGCGUGUCGCGACAGGCGGGGGGGGGGGGGGAGGGAGGGACAAACCCCAUAGGGGACACCUGGGGGGUGACAGUGCCCCAUAGGGGACACCUGGGGGGGUAACAGCCCUAUAGGUGACGUCUGAGGGGGCUGAGGUGACAUCAGGGGGGUGACAGCCCCAUAGGGGACACUUGGGGGGGUGACAUCCCCAUAGAUGCCACUUGGGGGGUGACAAACCCCAUAAGUGACAUCUGGGGGGCGGUGACAGCCCUAUAGGUGCCACCUGGGGGGGUGAGGUGACAUCUGGGGGGGACAUCCCCAUAGGUGACACUUGGGGGGGGGGAGACAGCCCUAUAGGUGACACUUAGGGGGUGACAACCCCAUAGGAGACCUCUGGGGGGGCUGACAGCCCUAUAGGUGCCACCUGGGGGGGGUGAGGCGACAUCUGGGGGGGGGACAGCCCCAUAGGUGCCACCUGGGGGGGGUGAGGUGACAUCUGG
ensembl:lncRNA